UUGGAGGGCAAGUCAAGUGCCAGCAGCCGCAGGUAAUUCCAGUUCCAAUAGCGUAUAUUAAAGUAAAGCAGUUGCAAAGCUCGUAUCGAAUUUCGGGAUUGAUGUUAGUAGGUUGCCCUAAGGGGUAUGAACUGUUGCAGUCGAUGUUUCACCUUUCCGAGAAACUUGAAAUCCCUAAAAGGGGGUCAUGCGGAAACUGGACCUUUACCCUGAAAAAAAUAGAGAGUUUAAAGCACACAUUAAGCUCGAAUUCCUUAGCCAGGGAUUAUAGAAUUGGAUCGCUUGAUUCUAUUUUGUUGGUUUCUAGGAUCGCCGUAAUGAUUAAUAGGGAUAGUUGGGGGCAUUAGUAUUCAAUUGUCAGAGGUGAAAUUCUUGGAUUUAUUGAAGACUAACUACUGCGAAAGCAUUUGCCAAGGAUGUUUUCAUUAAUCAAGAACGAAAGUUAGGGGAUCGAAGACGAUCAGAUACCGUCGUAGUCUUAACCAUAAACUAUGCCGACUAGGGAUCGGAUGAUGUUAAUUUUUUAAUGACUCAUUCGGCGCCUUACGGGAAAC
rnacentral:rRNA from 1 species